rnacentral:tRNA from 4 species
UCCGGGGUAGCUCAAUCGGCAGAGCGGGUGGCUGUUAACCACUAGGUUGGGGGUUCGAGUCCCUCCCCCGGAG